GUGCCAGCAGCCGCGGUAAUACAGAGGGUGCAAGCGUUGUUCGGAAUUAUUGGGCGUAAAGCGCGUGUAGGCGGUCCUGCAAGUCGGAUGUGAAAGCCCUCGGCUUAACCGAGGAAGUGCGUUCGAUACUACAGAACUUGAGUACCGGAGAGGGUGGCGGAAUUCCCGGUGUAGAGGUGAAAUUCGUAGAUAUCGGGAGGAACACCAGUGGCGAAGGCGGCCACCUGGACGGCUACUGACGCUGAGACGCGAAAGCGUGGGGAGCAAACAGGAUUAGAAACCCUGGUAGUCC
rnacentral:rRNA from 1 species